rnacentral:rRNA from 1 species
UACGGGGGGGGGUAAGCGUUGUUCGGAAUUACUGGGCGUAAAGGGCUCGUAGGCGGCCAACUAAGUCAUACGUGAAAUCCCUCAGCUUAACUGGGGAACUGCGUGUGAUACUGGAUGGCUUGGAUUUGGGAGAGGGAUGCGGAAUUCCUGGUGUAGCGGUGAAAUGCGCAGAUAUCAGGAGGAACACCAACGGCGAAGGCGGCUUCCUGGAUCACCCCUGACGCUGAGACGCGAAAGCGUGGGGAGCGAACGGG